UGGGGAAUAUUGCACAAUGGAGGAAACUCUGAUGCAGCGACGCCGCGUGAGUGAAGAAGUAUCUCGGUAUGUAAAACUCUAUCAGCAGGGAAGAUAAUGACGGUACCUGACUAAGAAGCACCGGCUAAAUACGUGCCAGCAGCCGCGGUAAUACGUAUGGUGCAAGCGUUAUCCGGAUUUACUGGGUGUAAAGGGUGCGUAGGUGGUAUGGCAAGUCAGAUGUGAAAGCACGGGGCUCAACCCCGUGACUGCAUUUGAAACUGUCAAACUAGAGUGCAGGAGAGGAAAGUGGAAUUCCUAGUGUAGCGGUGAAAUGCGUAGAUAUUAGGAAGAACACCAGUGGCGAAGGCGGCUUUCUGGACUGUAACUGACACUGAGGCACGAAAGCGUGGGGAGCAAACAGGAUUAGAUACCCUGGUAGU
rnacentral:rRNA from 1 species